ACUUGCUCAACUUUUGUUAAGUUGUACUGAAGCACUUAAUGUAGGAUGAAGAAUAAUAAUCAUUUGCUAGAUUUGGAGUGAAGAAUUUAUUGUUUUGCGGGAGGUAGUAGUACUGUGAUAGCAGCGUUGAUUUGUAGUGGUAGUUGUGUUGGAGAACCACAACGGGAACACAACGAGGAACAACGAUGACGAAUGCUACAACGGAGACAACAACAGUGACAAUCAAAAAACAAGUGGACGGCUGCAAUGAGCUUUACUGUUGAAAACGGUGGUGAGAUGUUCGUUGUCGGCAAGCGUGAUUUUCUCUUCCACGUAUGUUAUUUAUUUAUUUUAGUUUUAAUAUUAAAAACCUAUAAAAAUUAAAAAAGGAAAUUGGGUGGGGCACAAAGAGAGUGUUCGUGCAAUUCGUGGGGUUUGUUCUCGCACCAUAUAGCAUCACUG
rnacentral:lncRNA from 1 species